CAGGGCCAGAUUCAGCAUCCUGGUGAGACUGCACACACCCAAAAGAGGAGACUUAUGGAAUAGCACAUGGAGAGAGGCAUCUUUAAGCAGGUCUGAACAUGGGAAGAAGACUUUAAUGACAAGAAAAGUCAGGCUGGCAGAUCCUUUUCAUGCGCAAGGGCACAGUGCACUUUCCAAAUACUAAAUUGUUGCUAUAGUGGUGCUCAGGACCAAAUAAAGACUACCUUUUCUCUCUCCUUCAA